rnacentral:rRNA from 1 species
GGGAAUAUUGGACAAUGGGCGAAAGCCUGAUCCAGCAAUACCGCGUGUGUGAUGAAGGCCUGCGGGUUGUAAAACACUUUCGUUGGGGAAGAAAUGCUCAAAGUUAAUACCUUUGAGAGUUGUCGUUACCCAAAGAAGAAGCACCGGCUAACUCUGUGCCAGCAGCCGCGGUAAUACAGAGGGUGCAAGCGUUAAUCGGAGUUACUGGGCGUAAAGGGCGCGUAGGUGGAUAUUUAAGUCGGAUGUGAAAUCCCCGGGCUUAACCUGGGAAUUGCAUUCGAUACUGGAUAUCUCGAGUAUGGUAGAGGAAAGCGGAAUUCCCGGUGUAGCGGUGAAAUGCGUAGAUAUCGGGAAGAACAUCAGGGCGAAGGCGGCUUUCUGGACCAAUGCUGACACUGAGGCGCGAAAGCGUGGGGAGCAAACAG